GAUUCUUUUUUUUCUUUUUAAAUAAGUGUAAAUAAAUUAUCUAUUUGAUUUAUUUUAUUUAAAAAUAAAUUUAACUGUAAAUAUGAAUCAAUUAAGAUUCGAGCUUAAAAUCUCGAAUGCCAACCACUAAUCUCUUUGCCACUUGUGCUAAGGACAGUCAGUGCGGGAAAGAUAUUUUGAUUUCACAAUAUAGCACUCUUUAAUGCAGUGUUGGUGGUUAAGCAAGUUCUCGUGAUAUCUUAAUUUACUGAAUAUAUAUUAAAUAAUAUUUUUUAUAUCAUGUGCGCCAAUUCGUCAACAAUAUAUAAAGAUAACAAUACAAUAAUUUUGGUAGAAAACUGUUGUGUUUGUUCUAAUAAGUAGAUGAGAUGAG
rnacentral:lncRNA from 1 species